UUAGUUUAGUGGCGGACGGGUGAGUAACGCGUGAGUAACCUGCCUUCAAGAGGGGGAUAACAUUCUGAAAAGAAUGCUAAUACCGCAUGACAUAUCGGAACCACAUGGUUCUGAUAUCAAAGAUUUUAUCGCUUGAAGAUGGACUCGCGUCCGAUUAGUUAGUUGGUGAGGUAACGGCUCACCAAGACCGCGAUCGGUAGCCGGACUGAGAGGUUGAACGGCCACAUUGGGACUGAGACACGGCCCAGACUCCUACGGGAGGCAGCAGUGGGGGAUAUUGCGCAAUGGGGGCAACCCUGACGCAGCAACGCCGCGUGAAGGAUGAAGGUUUUCGGAUUGUAAACUUCUUUUAUUAAGGACGAAAAACGACGGUACCUAACAAGAAAGCACCGGCUAACUACGUGCCAGCAGCCGCGGUAAAACGUAGGGUGCAAGCGUUGUCCGGAAUUACUGGGUGUAAAGGGAGCGCAGGCGGACCGGCAAGUUGGAAGUGAAAACUAUGGGCUCAACCCAUAAAUUGCUUUCAAAACUGCUGGCCUUGAGUAGUGCAGAGGUAGGUGGAAUUCCCGGUGUAGCGGUGGAAUGCGUAGAUAUCGGGAGGAACACCAGUGGCGAAGGCGACCUACUGGGCACCAACUGACGCUGAGGCUCGAAAGCAUGGGUAGCAAACAGGAUUAGAUACCCUGGUAGUCCAUGCCGUAAACGAUGAUUACUAGGUGUUGGAGGAUUGACCCCUUCAGUGCCGCAGUUAACACAAUAAGUAAUCCACCUGGGGAGUACGACCGCAAGGUUGAAACUCAAAGGAAUUGACGGGGGCCCGCACAAGCAGUGGAGUAUGUGGUUUAAUUCGAAGCAACGCGAAGAACCUUACCAGGUCUUGACAUCCGAUGCAUAGUGCAGAGAUGCAUGAAGUCCUUCGGGACAUCGAGACAGGUGGUGCAUGGUUGUCGUCAGCUCGUGUCGUGAGAUGUUGGGUUAAGUCCCGCAACGAGCGCAACCCUUAUUGCCAGUUACUACGAAAGAGGACCCUGGCGAGACUGCCGUUGACAAAACGGAGGAAGGUGGGGAUGACGUCAAAUCAUCAUGCCCUUUAUGACCUGGGCUACACACGUACUACAAUGGCGUUUAACAAAGAGAAGCAAGACCGCGAGGUGGAGCAAAACUCAAAAACAACGUCUCAGUUCAGAUUGCAGGCUGCAACUCGCCUGCAUGAAGUCGGAAUUGCUAGUAAUCGCGGAUCAGCAUGCCGCGGUGAAUACGUUCCCGGGCCUUGUACUCACCGCCCGUCA
rnacentral:rRNA from 1 species